rnacentral:rRNA from 1 species
UAACGGCUCACCAAGGCUAUGAUCGUUAGCUGGUCUGAGAGGAUGGCCAGCCUACUGCUAACUGAGACACGGUCCAUACUCCUACGGGAGGCAGCAGUGGGGAAUCUUGCACAAUGGGCGAAAGCCUGCUGCAGCGCCGCCUCGUGGGGGAUGAAGCUCUUCGGAGUGUAAACCCCUUUCGACCCGGACGAAUGCCUCGCAAGAGGACUGACGGUACGGGUAUAAGAAGCCGCGGCUAACUACCUGCCAGCAGCCGCGGUACGACGUAGGGCGCCAGCGUUGCUCGGAAUUACUGGGUGUAAAGGGUUCGUAGGCGGUGCGCUAGUUGGGGAGUGAAAAUCUCUGGGCUCAACCCAGCGGCUGCUUCCAAAACUGCUGUGCUUGAGUGUGGGAGCGGCUCGUGUUAUUGCAGGGUGUAGCGAUGAAAAUG